GAAUGUUUUCACUCCAUUUGGUUUACAACGAUGAAAUACAAAGAACAUGCGAUCACCGUAAAGGACGCCAUAACACUGAUAUGGAUAAAAUAUAAUUCUUGCAGUACGGUUACUGUGGUACGGUUUCGAGAUUCAAACACCCCACCCCCGUAUAACGUGUUCACUGUACAGAGUGUGAUAGAGGCAUAAUAAAUAUGCCGGAAAUUUGUCCGCCUAUUGUUUUAAUUUGUAGUUAAAUAAAAAGUAAAUAAUUUUUAAGAAUUAA